UGAGGGCUGAGCAGAUCGGGAAGGUCCGGCGGCGGCGGUUCCCUCCUCCUCCUUCCUGAAUCGCGUGGUAUGUUUCCCCUUUUCUGAUGAACAAGUUCUUGUCUUCCUUACUACGGGUCUAAAUCAAAGUUGUUUUCUCAAUAUGUGUAUGCUUUGGUUUAUCAAAAGACGACUAGUACAUCACAUACGCUUCCCUGAUGAAUCAAAUGUGGGUGAAAUCUUCAGUAUCUUUGUUUGCUUGCCUGUAGCUACCUUUGUCCUCAUAAUGAGGACCUGCUAAAUUUAGUGUACGAUUGCCAAGAUGAGUGUUAUUUAUCUAACUAAACAGUUCGAAUUUUGAAAUGUCAGCAGUACAGCUGAGUCAUCAGUUUUGUUUGAAAUAUAUUUGGGUGGUAAUCCAAUCAUAUAUUGGAGUGCAGCCAAGCAGCGCUAGAAUGCAGAAGAGAACUUCUAUUUGGUAGGCAUAUCUCAAUUUCGCAUGCUAGGCUAAAGGUCAGUUGUCCAUUGAGGGUUAAGAAUUGGUACACAUACACCUCUUUCUUUUUUGCAGAGAUAAAGAGCACAUGAUAUAUCAUGCGUAAAGGUUUAUCAGUUAGCCGCACAUCUUUCCAAAAGGAAGUGCAUUUUUCAUUUUUUUUUUUACAGCCAUGCUCCUUCCUUCCAGAUAGAUCAGUAAGUCCGCCCAUACAGGGGAGUCACUUAGUUUAUAUCUCACAUUACAAACCAAAUUCUGAAAAAAGGCUAUAUUUUUUAAUUGUGCACUCUUAUAUUAAUUAUUUGUUCUACAUUGUUUCGGUUUGAAGUUCUGAAGUUAUAGUUUCACAGUAUUAUUGAUUAUAAUCCACUUCCUUAUGUACUAAACCUCCAGUAUUAGUUAUUUUUUACUCGCUUAUGGAUUUUCGAGUUCACAUUUCUGUUAAUUUUCGAUUAUGACAGCACUUUACUAACUACACUGCCAGUAUUUCUGCUUUGUUGAUGGUGCUUGACUUUACAUUUCUGUAACUAGGUCACGCUCCUGUUUUAUUUUGUGACUAAUCAUCAUACACCAAUUAGUUGUUGAUCAGUUUGCUUGUUGCAGUGCAGUGCUUUGCACACAACCUCUCCAUGUUGGAUUAUCAAAGCACACUACUUUUGUUUGUACAACUGCAAGUGCCAUGGCUGCAGGAACAUUGAAGGCUGCAGAGUCUGUGAAGGAGCACUUACGAGUUCAUUACUUAUCAUCGAUGUAUUUUGCCUCUUAGAUCUUGUUUAGUUCCUAAUUUGGGAGUGGUAAAAUUGGCAUUUUGCCAUAAAUGCACAACUGUAGCAUUUCGUUUGUAUUUGUGAAUUAUUAUCCAAACAUUGACUAAUUAGGCUCAAAAGAUCAUCUCGCAAAG
rnacentral:lncRNA from 1 species